CCCAACCUGGAUGAUCUGGUCUCUAUUGCGAGACAGGUGGGAGGCUUGAAAAUUUGCGGGACUUUGGAGCCAUCUUGAGAUACCACUCUUUUAAGCUCGAAUUCUCACUCUCUUUCGUUAUCCCGGGAGAGGACACUCCCUCGGGGGCAGUUUGACUGGGGCGGUCGCCUCCUAAAAGGUAACGGAGACGCACAAAGGUUUCCUCUCAUACUAUACAGUCUUUCUAAUAGAGCGAGGCAAAAGGAGCUUGACUGUGCGACACCGACUCAAGCAGAGGAAAAUCCUGUUUUGUCCCCGAUCCUGCUGGAAAGGGGUCGCUCUCGGAUAAAAUUUUCUCGGUAUAGGCUGAAAA
rnacentral:rRNA from 1 species